AGAAGAACUACAAAGAAAAAAGCAGCUUGUGGGUUAACGACUUCUCUCCCUUUCCAGGGAUCAUUUAGGGGAUCACAACCUGAUUUCCAGUCCUGGCCACAAAGCACUCUGAAGCUGGGGUGUGAUGUCGAGGAGGGACGGCCCAGGGGUCAUUCCGUGGAAAUGUCAGUCCCAUAAAAAAACUUGGCUCACACGGAGAGUAACCCCUGCGCUGUGACAUUUUGGAAACAGCAUCGCAAAGCAUGUGGUUUCACUCCCAUGGAUGGUUUGAAAAUUCGUCAGAAUGGAUUCAAGUAUCCCCAGGACUUGCUGCAAAGGAUUCAGGAGAUUAAAGAUUUAUCCUCUGUUGAUGAGUUGAAGAAUUCCUCAAAAGUAUGAGACAUAUGUUGACCAGGGCAAUGGAGUUGAAAAGGCAAUUCCUAUACUGGGCAGCCUGGGAUCUGUAUGAAUCAAGGUCUUCAAAGAAACAAAACAUCCAUGGGGACUGGAGAGCAUAACUAUUGGAGAAAGAAAAAUGAUGCCUCUUUGAAGUAUUGAGUUAUUUGGCUUUGGCCCACCAGGACAGGAACCAUGGGUGAUGCUUAGUAGCUGGGAAUGAUUCCUAGCCAACAGCCAACAGCCAACAGCAGAACGGGGACUUCAGUCCUACAACCACAAGGAACUGAAUUCUGCCAUCAAUCUGAAUGAGCAUGGAAGAGGACCCAACUGCAGUAACAAAGGAGCAGAUUGGCAAGCUGCAAGACAGAGAGCUCAGCAUAUCAAGACGUCAGUCUCCAAUAUUUGUGAGAACAUCAGCAACAAUCCAGUUGUCACAUCUGUAAGGAAAACAAGAAGUUAGGAGGCUCUGGUCCCCGUGCGCCAUUUUGGAAACAGAGUUAAAACCCAGAACCUUCAUUUUCCUAAUUUGCCACUAGACUUGGAGCUGAGGAACUUCAUGUAUAUGUACAGCAGUGCAAUUUAUUUAUGGACAUUACGGUCUCCUCAAGUUGACCUGAUCUUUGUGAGAACGAAGACCGUGCCUUGUACAUCUAUUCUGGCAGCCACACAGAGCCAUGCUCUACUAGGACAAUCUGCAACUCGGUGCUAGCCACAUAAAAAGAAACAUCACAGUUCCAUGAUGCAAGUUUGGUCUUCCAAGUGGACCUGAUAUGAAGUCAUGCUCAAUAUGCUCGUGACAAUGUUGAGAUUGGGCAGGUGGGUAAGGGUCUGAUAAUGACAGACCUUCCACUUUGGAAAAAUUAUCUUACAGGUACAGGGGGGCCUUUGUUGGAGGGCUUAAUACAUUGGGCAAGACGGACUUGCUUGCAUCCUGGAAGGACUUCUUCGGCAGUGUGUAGAUGAUGGUUUUGAGGGGAAUGGUAAAGUCAGAAAGAUCAGUUAGAAAGCUACUGAAAUAACCUAGCACAGAAAAACUGACUGUUCAAGCUAAGGCAGUAAGGCUGAAGAAGAGGAAAUAGAUUUUUUAAAAAAUAAUAUACUUUGUUUCUAAACAUAAUUCUAUUUUGGAUGGAUGUACCAAACCAGUCCCGUUUUGUAUUUUGUCUCCAAAUGCUUUGGAUGUUACUUUAAAAAUUGCAAUAGUAUAUAUGCAACUCAAAAUUUCCCCUUUCACCACUUUCGAGUACAAUUCAGUGCAUCAAUUGUUUUCAUAAUAUUGUGCCCCCACCCCCAAUAUCCAUUACCCAAACUUUUUCAUCACCCCAGAGACUCUGUACCCAUUAAACAAUAACUGCCUGUUCCCCACCUCCC